ensembl:lncRNA
UGAAGUUGUAGCUGUUGAACUUGGAGAGAGUGUUGUGAACUCAGUAACAGUUGUCAUUAUUGGUUGUGACAUUCUGGGUGAUGUAGGUGGACUUUGCUCUGUAAAUCUUGAUUCUUCAGCUUUAGUAAAAUACACUGUACUUUUUGUUGGAGUAGUUGCUUCACUUGUUGGUUUUGUGACCACUGUUGAUGCCUGUGGUAAUAUUACAGUGCUAUUUGUCACUUCUGUUGCAAUUGAUGGUAUAGUUGAAUAUGUGGUUGAUGUUUGCUCUGAAAUGGAUGACACGUCAACUGAACUACUUAGUGCUGGACUAGUCAAAGACGUAGUUAAUUCUGCUGUUAUUUGGGUUUUUUUUGUAGUCUGUGUAGUUGUGAUUAUUGCAUGUGUUGUGGACAUAGUGGGAGUGGUCAGUUCUAUUGCUUGUAUUGUAGUUAAAGGUACAGUUGUAGCUGUGGUUGCUUGCUUAGUAGUUGUUUGUUCUUCAGGUGUACAGAUUGGAGUUGGAGUAGAUGCAGUUGUAUCAGUGUUUGUUGCAGACUGUGUAGUUGAUACUGUGGUAGUGGUUAGUUCUGUUGUUGGUGCUGGAGACAGAACAGUUUUAGCUGUGUAAAUUUCCUCUGUAUUUGUUGGUUCCUCAGUUGUAGUGGAUGGGGCUACCAUUGUUGUUGAUGCAGUUGUUUCAUCUGUUGUUGCAGCCUGUAUUGUGGAGACUAUAGUAUUGGUCAGUUCUGCUGUAGGUGAUGUAUUUAAUGUUAUACUUGUAUCUGUGGUUGUUUCCUCCCUAGUUGUUGCUUCCUCAAUUGUAGUGGGUGGAGCUGUAACAAUUGUAAAUGCAGUUGGUUCUACUGUCCUUGGUCCUGUGCUUGUUGUAGCCUGUGUAGUUGAUACUGUAAAAGUGGUAAAUUCUGAUGUUGCUGCUGUAGUUAAAGUUGUAGUUGCAGCUGUGGUUGUUUCCUCUGUAGUUGUUACAUCCUCAGUUGUUGUGGUUGGAGCUAGAGCAGUAGUAGAUGCAAAUGUUUCUAGUGUUGUUGGUCCUGUGCUUGUUGAAGCCUUUGUACUUGAUACUGUGGAAAUCAUAAAUUCUGUUGUUGAUGCUGUAGUUAAAGUUGUAGCAGUAUCUGAGCUUGUUUCCUCUGUAGUUGUUGCUUCCUCAGGUGUAGUGGUUGCAGCUGAAGUAGCUGUAGAUGCAAUUGUUGUGGACACUAUAGUACUGGUCAGUUCUGUUGUAGGUGAUGGUAUACUUAUAGCUCUGGUUGUUUUCACUGUUGUUGUUUGUUCCUGAGUUGUAGUGGUUGGGGCUACAGUUGUUGUAGAUGCACUUGGUUCUACUGUCGAGGGUUCCGUGCUUGUUCUAGCCUGUGUAGUUGAUAGUGUGGAAGUGGUAAAUUCUGUUGUUGCUGCUGUAGUUAAAGUUGUAGAUGUUUCCUCUGUAAUUGUUGCUUUCUCAAUUGCAGUGGUUGGAACUGGAGUAGUUGUAGAUGGAGUUGUUUCUACUGUUGUUGGUCCUGUGCUAGUUGUAACCUGUGUAGUUGAUACUGUGGAAGUGGUAAAUUCUGUUGUUGCUGCUGUAGUUAAAAUUGUAGUAGUAUCUGUGGUUGUUUCCUCUGUAGUUGUUCCUUCCUCAGUUGUAGUGGUUGGAAAUGGAGCAGUUGUAGAUGGAGUUGUUUCUACUGUUGUUGGUCCUGUGCUAGUUGUAACCUGUGUAGUUGAUAGUUCUGUUUGUGCUGUUGUCAGUACAGUUGUAGCUGUGGUGGUUUCCUUGGUAGUACUUGAUUCCUGGUGUGUAGUGCUUGGGGCUACAGUUGUUGUUGAUGCAGUUGUUUCAUCUGUGUUUGAAGCCUGUGUUGUGGACAUUAUAGCACUGAUGAUUGCUGUUGUGGUUGAUGGUAUACUUGUAGCUGUGGUUGUUUUCACUGUUGUUGUUUGUUCCUGAGUUGUAGUGGUUGAGGCUACAGUUGUUGUAGUUUCAGUUGUUUGUUCAGUUGUUGGCUGUGUGCUUGAUGUAGCUUCUGUUGUGGAUAGAGUGCUAGUGGUCAGUUCAGUUGUUGCUGUCGGUACUGUUGUGGUUGUAGGUUCCUGAAUUGUACUGGUUGGAGGUGAAGUAGCUGUAGAUGAAGUUGUUUCUACUGUCGUUGGUCCUGUGCUUGUUGUAGUCUGUGUAGUUGGUACUGUGGAAGUGGUUAAUUCUGUUGUUGCUGCUGUAUUUAAAGUUGUAGUUGUAGCUGUGGUUGUUUCCUCUGUAGUUGUUGCUGUCUCACUUGUUGUGGUUGGAGCUGGAGUAGUUGUAGAUGGAGUUGUUUCUACUGUCGAGGGUCCCGUGCUUGUUGUAGCCUGUGUAGUUGAUACUGUGGAAGUGGUAAAUUCUGUUGUUGCUGCAGGCGUUAAAGUUGUAGUUGUUUCCUCUGUAGUUGUUGCUUCCUCAGUUGUAGUGGAUGGAGCUGAAGUAGCUGUGGAUGCAGUUGUUUCUACUGUUGUUGGUCCUGUGCUUGUUGUAGCCUGUGUAGUUGAUAGUUCUGUUUGUGCUGUUGUCAGUACAGUUGUAGCUGUAGGUGUUUCCUCGGUAGUACUUGGUUCCUGGGUUGUAGUGUAUGGGGCUACAGUUGCUGUUGAUGCAGUUGUUUCAUAUGUGGUUGCAGCCUGUGUUGUGGACACUAUAGUACUGGUGAGUUCUGUUGUAUGUGAUGGUAUACUUGUAGCUGUGGUUAUUUGCACUGUUGUUGUUUGUUCCUGAAUUGUACUGGAUGGAGCUGAAGUAGCUGUAGAUGCACUUGUUUCUGCUGUUGAGGGUCCCGUGCUUGUUGUAACCUGUGUAGUUGAUACUGUGGAAGUGGUAAAUUCUGUUGUUGCUGCAGGCGUUAAAGUUGUAGUUGUUUCCGCUGUAGUUGUUGCUUCCUCAGUUGUAGUGGAUGGAGCUGAAGUAGCUGUGGAUGCAGUUGUUUCUACUGUUGUUGGUCCUGUGCUUGUUGUAGCCUGUGUAGUUGAUAGUUCUGCUUGUGCUGUUGUCAUAACAGUUGUAGCUGUAGGUGUUUCCUCGGUAGUACUUGGUUCCUG